rnacentral:rRNA from 1 species
AACGAACGCUGGCGGCAUGCCUAACACAUGCAAGUCGAACGAGACCUUCGGGUCUAGUGGCGCACGGGUGCGUAACGCGUGGGAACCUGCCCUUAGGUUCGGAAUAACUCCCCGAAAGGUGUGCUAGUACCGGAUAAUGUCUUCGGACCAAAGAUUUAUCGCCUUUGGAUGGGCCCGCGUUGGAUUAGCUAGUUGGUAGGGUAAAAGCCUACCAAGGCGACGAUCCAUAGCUGGUCUGAGAGGAUGAUCAGCCACACUGGGACUGAGACACGGCCCAGACUCCUACGGGAGGCAGCAGUGGGGAAUAUUGGACGAUGGGCGAAAGACUGAUCCAGCCAUGCCGCGUGAGUGAUGAAGGCCUUAGGGUUGUAAAGCUCUUUUACCCGGGAUGAUAAUGACAGUACCGGGAGAAUAAGCUCCGGCUAACUCCGUG